rnacentral:tRNA from 1 species
GAAAAAUUAGUUAAAUUUAUAACAUUAGUUUGUCAUUCUAAUAUUUUCUCUUAGAAAUUUUUCU